rnacentral:rRNA from 1 species
UGGGGAAUAUUGCACAAUGGAGGAAACCCUGAUGCAGCGACGCCGCGUGAGCGAUGAAGGCUUUCGAGUCGUAAAGCUCUGUCCUAUGGGAAGAUAAUGACGGUACCAUAGAAGAAAGCCCCGGCUAAUUACGUGCCAGCAGCCGCGGUAAUACGUAAGGGGCGAGCGUUGUCCGGAAUUAUUGGGCGUAAAGAGUGCGUAGGCGGCAAAUUAAGUCAGAUGUGAAAACUAAGGGCUCAACCCAUAGAUUGCAUCUGAAACUGAUAUGCUUGAGUCAAGGAGAGGAAAGUGGAAUUCCUAGUGUAGCGGUGGAAUGCGUAGAUAUUAGGAGGAAUACCGGUGGCGAAGGCGACUUUCUGGACUUGAACUGACGCUGAGGCACGAAAGCGUGGGGAGCAAACAGG